AGGCAAUUAACCUCUAACCCUCCCUUAGAUGUUUUAGACAUGCUUAUUUACUCUUCCCUGGGGAGGGGAGGAGAGUGAAGCAGACAUAUGUUAAAAACCUUACCCCUCCCCAAUCCUCAGAGGCCUUCCCCAGCAUUCUUUAAAUCAUCAGAAGUCAAGUUCUGCUGGGAAACAUUCCAAGGCAGGGGCAAUCCCCCAGCGGUCUCCCAGCUCCACCAAACCAAACCGCACCUUUUACCUUCCACCUCCUGCAUCUCCUGGGUGUCCUGCUCUCAGCAGAUUUGAGAUUUCUGAGCUGCCUGGUGCAGUGUGAUGGAGCGGGUCAUCAUUACAGUCCCUCGUCCCGAGAGGUGACUCUGGGCCAGGCUUGUGCUCAGCCUCGCAACCACAGGAAGGUGGUUUUUACAGCUAGAUCCUUUCACCCUGGGGCUUUUACAUGCAGAAGGUGACGGACAUCCUGACUCAGAGCUCCCCUCUCCCUUUCAAGAGAAGACUGUGUAUCAUGAUUAUUGAGUGUCCAAUGGGAAGUCCAGUAAUCCUAAUGUUAAAAACAGCUAACAGAGGCUUGCUGAGCCCCAGUCACAUGCCAGAUGACACUGGCCUAAGUGGUGUGCAUUUAAAAAAAAAUUCAGCUUUAUUGAGAUGUAAUUGACAUAUAAAAUCUUGUGGCAUGUGGGACGCUGCCUCAGCGUGGUUUGAUGAGCAGUGCCAUGUCCGCGCCCAGGAUUCGAACUGACGAAACAGUGGGCCGCCUGCAGCGGAGCCUGUGAACUUAACCACUCGGCCAUGGGGCCAGCCCC
rnacentral:lncRNA from 1 species